rnacentral:rRNA from 1 species
CGGGGUGUAAACCACUGUCAGGAGGGACGAAAGAGCGCAUGGUGAAUAAUCAUGGGCAGUGACGGUACCUUCAAAGGAAGCACCGGCUAACUCUGUGCCAGCAGCCGCGGUAAUACAGAGGGUGCAAGCGUUGUUCGGAAUUACUGGGCGUAAAGCGCGCGCAGGCGGAUCCUGUAAGUCUGGAGUGAAAUUUCACGGCUCAACCGUGAAGCUGCUUCGGAUACUGCGGAUCUGGAGAUCGGUAGAGGUCGGUGGAAUUACAGGUGUAGCGGUGGAAUGCGUAGAUAUCUGUAAGAACACCCGUGGCGAAGGCGGCCGACUGGGCCGAAUCUGACGCUGAGGCGCGAAAGCGUGGGGAGCAAACAGGAUUAGAUACCCUGGUAGUCCACGCCGUAAACGAUGGGCACUAGGUGCCGGGGGGAGCGACCCCUUCGGUGCCGCAGCUAACGCGAUAAGUGCCCCGCCUGGGGAGUACGGCCGCAAGGCUG